CUGCUACUACUUGCUUCUUUUUAUCUCUUUAGAAGCAAAACUUCUAAAAAAAUGAAAAACAAAUUUUCAUCUCUCUUUUAAAUCAUAGAUACAGCUUUGAAAUUUUCAUAUUUCUUGAUCUUUCUUUUUUCAAGUUUGAAUUUUUCUUUCAAUUUCAAGCUUUUUGGUGUCAAGUUUAGUAUUAAGAGUAGUAGGGUUUGAGUGCUUUCUUCAAAUAUCAAUUUUGAUAACUGUCAAAUGUUAAUGGACUUUCUUUUGGGUUAGGGUUCUUGAGAACCAAGGGAAAAACAUUUUUUUUUAAAGUAAUUAUUUGUUUAAUAAAAUAAAUAUAUAAAAAUAGCAUUGUG
rnacentral:lncRNA from 1 species